GGGAUUGUAGCUCAGUGGUAGAGUGCUUGCCUUGCAUACAUGAGGCCCUGGGUUCAAUCCUCAACACCA
rnacentral:tRNA from 1 species